rnacentral:rRNA from 1 species
CCUACGGGGGGCUGCAGUGGGGAAUAUUGGACAAUGGGGGCAACCCUGAUCCAGCGACGCCGCGUGUGUGAAGAAGGCCUGCGGGUUGUAAAGCACUUUUAGUGGGGAGGAAGGUCUGCGACCUAACACGUCGUGGAAUUGACUUAACCCACAGAAACAGCACCGGCUAACUCUGUGCCAGCAGCCGCGGUAAUACAGAGGGUGCAAGCGGGGAGCGGAAUGUCGGUGCGUAAAGCGUGAGGUGGCGGGUGAAAGCCCCGGGCUCAACCUGGGAAGUGCAUUCGAGACUGCGAAGCUGGAGUGCGGAAGAGGGAAGUGGAAUUUCCGGUGUAGCGGUGAAAUGCGUAGAUAUCGGAAGGAACAUCAGUGGCGAAAGCGACUUCCUGGUCCAGCACUGACGCUCAGGCACGAAAGCGUGGGGAGCAAACAGGAUUAGAUACCCGUGUAGUC